UACGGGGGGGCAAGCGUUGUUCGGAAUUACUGGGCGUAAAGGGCUCGUAGGCGGCCAACUAAGUCAUACGUGAAAUCCCUCGGCUUAACCGGGGAACUGCGUCUGAUACUGGAUGGCUUGAGUUCGGGAGAGGGAUGCGGAAUUCCAGGUGUAGCGGUGAAAUGCGUAGAUAUCUGGAGGAACACCGGUGGCGAAGGCGGCAUCCUGGACCGAUACUG
rnacentral:rRNA from 1 species